CCUCUUCGGUUCCAGGGCUGAACAAGUCAAGACAUGUUCCUGAAAGCCAGAAAGCUGGCUCCGACCCACCUCAGCCUGACGGAGCUCCGGGGUUUGCUGCUGGUCUCAGAGAAGGACAGCCAGGGAUGGAAAGACAGAAGAAGCCAUGCAGCUGGGGACCAAACCCAGGGCUACUGCCCCAUGGCCAUGUCUGCCUGCCUGCUGCCACAGUUCCCACCAUGACAGUCACGGACUCUAACCUUCUCAAGCUAGCUGAUGGUGUAUAUGGCUGAUUCCCUCUUCAGGACUUGCCUCAGAGAGGAAGGCAUUCAGGCUCUGGCCUGUCUGCAUUGAAGGUGCACCCAGAUGGCUGAUGGGAUGGAAAAGCCCAGAUUGCUGAACCGACUUCAGGCAGGACCAGCUGAGCUGCCCAGGCCUCUGGUCUCCAUCAGACCACAUCUCCUCUUUCUGCCUAACCUGAUUCUCUUUAUACCCAGACAGGUGUGCACACUGCAAAUGCACCCCUUCCCCUCAUAUCAACCAGUGGGGAGCUUAAGUGAUCAGUGAAUUCCAAGGGAUCCUUUCCCUAGGAUAUCUCUAUACACCAGUAAUAUGAUGAUGAUGAUGAUGAUGAUGAUGAUGAUGAUGAUGAUGAUGAUGAUGGAAAAAUUCUCUGUACUGCUUGGCUCUUUACCUAUGUGGCUUUACUUAAUGAAGACUAGAAUUUAUGCCAAAGGAA